rnacentral:rRNA from 1 species
AUUGAACGCUGGCGGCAUGCCUUACAGAUGCAAGUCGAACGGUAACAGGUCUUCGGAUGCUGACGAGUGGCGAACGGGUGAGUAAUACAUCGGAACGUGCCCGAUCGUGGGGGAUAACGGAGCGAAAGCUUUGCUAAUACCGCAUACGAUCUACGGAUGAAAGCAGGGGACCGCAAGGCCUUGCGCGGACGGAGCGGCCGAUGGCAGAUUAGGUAGUUGGUGGGAUAAAAGCUUACCAAGCCGACGAUCUGUAGCUGGUCUGAGAGGACGACCAGCCACACUGGGACUGAGACACGGCCCAGACUCCUACGGGAGGCAGCAGUGGGGAAUUUUGGACAAUGGGCGAAAGCCUGAUCCAGCCAUGCCGCGUGCAGGAUGAAGGCCUUCGGGUUGUAAACUGCUUUUGUACGGAACGAAAAGACUCUUUCUAAUAAAGAGGGUCCAUGACGGUACCGUAAGAAUAAGCACCGGCUAACUACGUG